AAAGCCUAAACCAUCUACUCAGGUAGAUGGGGUAGUGGGACAGCGACAAGAGACUGGAGAAGUUAGACGAAGCAGCUGAAAACUGCACCAGAGGAGGUGAAAGUCCUGUAGUCGAAAAUAGAACCAGUUUCAGCUGAAUCCCGAGUAGCGCGGGACACGAGAAAUCCAGCGUGAAUCAGCCAGGACCACCUGGUAAGGCUAAAUACGUCUGCGUGACCGAUAGAGAAAAGUACCGCGAGGGAAAGGUGAAAAGAACCCCGGGAGGGGAGUGAAACAGAACAUGAAACCUUUUGCUUACAAGCAGUGGGAGGACGAUUAAACGUCUGACCGCGUGCCUGUUGAAGAAUGAGCCGGCGACUUACAGGCAGUGGCAGGUUAAGGCUCUUGUGCCGAAGCCAAAGCGAAAGCGAGUCCGAAGAGGGCGCUAGUCACUGUUUGUAGACCCGAACCCUGGCGAUCUAACCAUGUCCAGGAUGAAGCUUGGGUAAAGCCAAGUGGAGGUCCGAACCGACCAAUGUUGAAAAAUUGGCGGAUGAGGUGUGGUUAGGGGUGAAAUGCCAAUCGAGCCAGGAGCUAGCUGGUUCUCCCCGAAAUGUGUUUAGGCGCAGCGGUUAAGCAGAUUGAAGUGGGGGUAAAGCACUGUUUCGCUGCGGGCUGCGAGAGCGGUACCAAAGCGAGGCAAACUAAGAAUACCAUUUCAAGCUUAACCAGUGAGACGGUGGGGGAUAAGCUUCAUCGUCGAGAGGGAAACAGCCCAGACCACCAGCUAAGGCCCCAAAAUGGAAUCUAAGUGAGAAAGGAGGUGGGAGUGCACAGACAACCAGGAGGUUUGCCUAGAAGCAGCAAUCCUUGAAAGAGUGCGUAAUAGCUCACUGGUCAAGCGCUCCUGCGCCGAAAAUGAAUGGGGCUAAGAUUCCUGCCGAAGCUGUGGACAGUGAGCUUAGUCGAACUGUGGUAGGGGAGCGUUCUCUAUUGGGGGAAGCACUAGCGGCAAGCAGGUGUGGACGAUAGAGAAGUGAGAAUGUCGGCUUAAGUAGCGCAAACAUUGGUGAGAAUCCAAUGCCCCGAAACCCUAAGGGUUCCUCCGGAAGGCUCGUCCGCGGAGGGUAAGUCAGGACCUAAGGCGAGGCUGAAAAGCGUAGUCGAUGGACAACGGGUUAAUAUUCCCGUACCGAGAAGGGUUGAUACAGGGGGACGAAGAAGGUCAAGACCAUCCGGGUGAUGGAAGUCCCGGUGCAAGUAACCAAGGCGUUGAAGUCUGGAGAAAACGGACAGAGCUAAGGAACGAGUCGGAUAAGCUAAGGCUUAGAACUGGUCAAGGUCAAGCUUCCAAGAAAAGCCCGAAGUAUCAUAAACCCGGAUUGCCUGUACCCGAAACCGACACAGGUAGGGUGGUAGAGAAUACUAAGGGGCGCGAGAUAACUCUCUCUAAGGAACUCGGCAAAAUUACCCCGUAACUUUGGGAGAAGGGGUGCCACCGAGAGGUGGUCGCAGUGAAGAGGCCCAGGCGACUGUUUACCAAAAACACAGGUCUCCGCGAAGUCGCAAGACGAAGUAUGGGGGCUGACGCCUGCCCAGUGCCGGAAGGUUAAGGAAGUUGGUCAGUCUUUGGAUGAAGCUAACGACUGAAGCCCCGGUGAACGGCGGCCGUAACUAUAACGGUCCUAAGGUAGCGAAAUUCCUUGUCGGGUAAGUUCCGACCCGCACGAAAGGCGUAACGAUCUGGGCACUGUCUCGGAGAGAGGCUCGGCGAAAUAGGAUUGUCUGUGAAGAUACGGACUACCUGCACCUGGACAGAAAGACCCUAUGAAGCUUUACUAUAACUUGGAAUUGGGUUCGGGCUUCUCUUGCGCAGGAUAGGUGGGAGGCGAUGAAGAUUUCCUUGUGGGGAAAUCAGAGCCAACGGUGAGAUACCACUCUAGGGAGGCUAGGAUUCUAACUUCUACCCGUAAUCCGGGAGGAGAACAGUUUCAGGCGGGUAGUUUGACUGGGGCGGUCGCCUCCAAAAAGGUAACGGAGGCGCACAAAGGUUCCCUCAGGCUGGUUGGAAAUCAGCCAAAGAGUGCAAAGGCAGAAGGGAGCUUGACUGUGAGAGUGACAACUCGAGCAGGGUGGAAACACGGUCUUAGUGAUCCGACGGCACUGCGUGGAAAGGCCGUCGCUCAACGGAUAAAAGUUACUCUAGGGAUAACAGGCUGAUCUCCCCCAAGAGUUCACAUCGACGGGGAGGUUUGGCACCUCGAUGUCGGCUCAUCGCAACCUGGGGCGGAAGUACGUCCCAAGGGUUGGGCUGUUCGCCCAUUAAAGCGGUACGUGAGCUGGGUUCAGAACGUCGUGAGACAGUUCGGUCCAUAUCCGGUGCAGGCGCAAGAGUAUUGAGAGGAGCCUUCCUUAGUACGAGAGGACCGGGAAGGACGCACCUCUGGUGUACCUGUUAUCGUGCCAACGGUAAACGCAGGGUAGCCAAGUGCGGAGUGGAUAACCGCUGAAAGCAUCUAAGUGGGAAGCCCACCUCAAGAUGAGUACUCUCAUGGAGUUAAUCCAGUAAGGUCACGGGCAGAACACCCGUUUAUAGGCUUUAGGUGGAAGAGCAGUAAUGUUUGAAGCCGAGAUUUCCUAACAGACCGAGGGCUCUAGCUA
rnacentral:rRNA from 1 species